AGCUGUGUAUCUUAUAUUAAAGUUUUAAUUUUGUAAAUUAAAGAAGUAUAUUUUAAGUAUAUUAUAGCUU
rnacentral:tRNA from 1 species